rnacentral:rRNA from 1 species
GAUGAACGCUGGCGGCGCGCCUAAUACAUGCAAGUCGAGCGAAUGGAUUAAGAGCUUGCUCUUAUGAAGUUAGCGGCGGACGGGUGAGUAACACGUGGGUAACCUGCCCAUAAGACUGGGAUAACUCCGGGAAACCGGGGCUAAUACCGGAUAACAUUUUGAACCGCAUGGUUCGAAAUUGAAAGGCGGCUUCGGCUGGCACUUAUGGAUGGACCCGGGUCGCAUUAGCUAGUUGGUGAGGUAACGGCUCACCAAGGCAACGAUGCGUAGCCGACCUGAGAGGGUGAUCGGCCACACUGGGACUGAGACACGGCCCAGACUCCUACGGGAGGCAGCAGUAGGGAAUCUUCCGCAAUGGACGAAAGUCUGACGGAGCAACGCCGCGUGAGUGAUGAAGGCUUUCGGGUCGUAAAACUCUGUUGUUAGGGAAGAACAAGUGCUAGUUGAAUAAGCUGGCACCUUGACGGUACCUAACCAGAAAGCCACGGCUAACUACGUGCCAGCAGCCGCGGUAA